GAAUUCGCCCUUAGAGUUUGAUCCUGGCUCAGGACGAACGCUGGCGGCGUGCUUAACACAUGCAAGUCGAGCGGGGACAGUGGAAGUGCUUGCACAGAAACUGUUCUAGCGGCGGACGGGUGAGUAACGCGUGAGCAAUCUGUCCCAGACAGGGGGAUAACACUUGGAAACAGGUGCUAAUACCGCAUAAGACCACGAGGUCGCAUGGCUUUGAGGUAAAAGAAAUAUCGGUUUGGGGUGAGCUCGCGUCUGAUUAGCUAGUUGGUGAGGUAACGGCCCACCAAGGCGACGAUCAGUAGCCGACCUGAGAGGGUGAUCGGCCACAUUGGAACUGAGACACGGUCCAGACUCCUACGGGAGGCAGCAGUGGGGAAUAUUGGGCAAUGGGCGCAAGCCUGACCCAGCAACGCCGCGUGAAGGAAGAAGGUUUUCGGAUUGUAAACUUCUGUCCUUGGUGACGAACGCAAUGACGGUAGCCAAGGAGGAAGCCCCGGCUAACUACGUGCCAGCAGCCGCGGUAAUACGUAGGGGGCAAGCGUUGUCCGGAAUGACUGGGCGUAAAGGGCGUGUAGGCGGCUUUUUAAGUGUGAAGUGAAAGUCCUGCUUUCAAGGUGGGAACUGCUUUGCAAACUGGAGAGCUUGAGUGCGGAAGAGGUAAGUGGAAUUCCCAGUGUAGCGGUGAAAUGCGUAGAGAUUGGGAGGAACACCAGUGGCGAAGGCGACUUACUGGGCCGUAACUGACGCUGAGGCGCGAAAGCGUGGGGAGCGAACAGGAUUAGAUACCCUGGUAGUCCACGCUGUAAACGAUGAAUGCUAGGUGGAGCGGGUAUCGACCCCUGCCUGUGCCGCAAUAAACACAAUAA
rnacentral:rRNA from 1 species